rnacentral:rRNA from 1 species
UACGGAGGGUGCGAGCGUUGUCCGGAAUCACUGGGCGUAAAGGGCGCGUAGGCGGCCUGAUAAGUAGGGGGUGAAAUCCUGCGGCUUAACCGCAGGGCUGCCUUCUAAACUGUCAGGCUAGAGCACAGUAGAGGCAGGUGGAAUUCCCGGUGUAGCGGUGGAAUGCGUAGAGAUCGGGAAGAACAUCAGUGGCGAAGGCGGCCUGCUGGGAUGUUGCUGACGCUGAGGCGCGACAGCGUGGGGAGCAAACAGG